rnacentral:ncRNA from 1 species
UCCCCCGCUUUCCUCCCUGAGCGGGUGCCUUAACCCUUGUUAAGGCGUUUCAUCCCCCCGGGUUUACUCCCCUUUACCCGGGGUUUUUUUG